UCAGACAUGGCAGUUUCGAGAGCCCUCGUCCUCGGCGUCCUGCUGGCGAUCGCCGUCGCCAAUGCCGAGGCAGCGUCCGUCGUGGUCGGCCAGGUCAAGUGCGCCGACUGCACCAGGAAGAACUUGAAGGCCGAGGAAGCCUUCAAGGAUCUUCAGGUGGCGAUCAAGUGCAAGAACGUCCACCGCGACUACGAGAGCAAGGCGGUGGGUGCCCUGGACCGCACCGGCGCCUUCAGCGUGCCCCUGGCCGCCGACCUCCAUGGCGCCGACUGCGUCGCGCAGCUCCACAGCGCUGCC
rnacentral:rRNA from 1 species